AGAGUUUGAUCCUGGCUCAGGAUGAACGCUAGCGACAGGCUUAACACAUGCAAGUCGAGGGGCAGCGAGGGCGUAGCAAUACGCCUGUCGGCGACCGGCGCACUGGUGAGUAACACGUAUGCGACCUGCCCCCUACAGGGGUAUAACCCGUAGAAAUGCGGACUAAUCCCCCAUAGUCCCGUUGGCUGCAUGGCCAUCGGGGGAAAGGGUUUCCGGUAGGGGAUGGGCAUGCGGCGCAUUAGCUAGUUGGCGGGGCAACGGCCCACCAAGGCGACGAUGCGUAGGGGUUCUGAGAGGAAGGUCCCCCACACUGGUACUGAGACACGGACCAGACUCCUACGGGAGGCAGCAGUGAGGAAUAUUGGUCAAUGGGCGCAGGCCUGAACCAGCCAAGUCGCGUGAGGGAAGACGGUCCUACGGAUUGUAAACCUCUUUUGUCGGGGAGUAACGUGCGGGACGCGUCCCGUAUUGAGAGUACCCGAAGAAAAAGCAUCGGCUAACUCCGUGCCAGCAGCCGCGGUAAUACGGAGGAUGCGAGCGUUAUCCGGAUUUAUUGGGUUUAAAGGGUGCGCAGGCGGCGCGCCAAGUCAGCGGUCAAAGUUCCGGGCUCAACCCGGUGUCGCCGUUGAAACUGGCGUGCUCGAGUGCGUGCGAGGAAGGCGGAAUGCGUUGUGUAGCGGUGAAAUGCAUAGAUAUGACGCAGAACUCCGAUUGCGAAGGCAGCUUUCCAGCGCGCUACUGACGCUGAGGCACGAAAGCGUGGGGAUCGAACAGGAUUAGAUACCCUGGUAGUCCACGCAGUAAACGAUGACUACUAGCUUUCCGGGAUGAUUGAGUCCUGGGAGGCACAGCGAAAGCGUUAAGUAGUCCACCUGGGGAGUACGCCGGCAACGGUGAAACUCAAAGGAAUUGACGGGGGCCCGCACAAGCGGAGGAACAUGUGGUUUAA
rnacentral:rRNA from 1 species